AAAGGGCAUAGGUGAUCGUAGCGAGUUUCGAGGAAACUCGGACUUGCUGCGAUUGCCUAGCCUUUCACCAGGCCUGCGGUUUAAUUGGAGUCAACGCCGGGAACCUCACCUGGGGCGACAGCAGGAUGAAGGUCAGUCUGAAGGGCUUGCCUAACGCGCUGAGAGGAGGUGCAUGGCCGCCGUCAGCUCGUACCGUGAGGUGUCCCCUUAAGUGGGGCAACGAGCGAGACCCUCGCCCCUAGUUGCGACCUGGAACCUCAGGUUCCAGGGCACACUAGGGGGACUGCGCCCGUCAAGGGCGAGGAAGGUGAGGGCGACGACAGGUCAGUAUGCCCCGAAUCCCCAGGGCUACACGCGGGCUGCAAUGCGCGGGACAAUGGGCUGCCACCCCGAAAGGGGGAGCAAAUCCCCUAAACCCGCGCCCAGUUCGGAUCGAGGGCUGCAACUCGCCCUCGUGAAGCCGGAAUCCCUAGUAACCGCGGUUCAUCACGCCGCGGUGAAUACGUCCCUGCUCCUUGCACACACCGCCCGUCAAGCCAACCGAGUCGGGUCUGGGUGAACCUUAACCAAAUUGGUUAGGGUGAACCCAGGCUCGGCGAGGGGGGUUAAGUCGUCACAAGGUAGCCGUACGGGAACGUGCGGCUG
rnacentral:rRNA from 1 species